rnacentral:rRNA from 1 species
UGGGGAAUAUUGGACAAUGGGCGAAAGCCUGAUCCAGCCAUGCCGCGUGUGUGAAGAAGGUCUUCGGAUUGUAAAGCACUUUAAGUUGGGAGGAAGGGCAGUUACCUAAUACGUGAUUGUUUUGACGUUACCGACAGAAUAAGCACCGGCUAACUCUGUGCCAGCAGCCGCGGUAAUACAGAGGGUGCAAGCGUUAAUCGGAAUUACUGGGCGUAAAGCGCGCGUAGGUGGUUAGUUAAGUUGGAUGUGAAAUCCCCGGGCUCAACCUGGGAACUGCAUUCAAAACUGACUGACUAGAGUAUGGUAGAGGGUGGUGGAAUUUCCUGUGUAGCGGUGAAAUGCGUAGAUAUAGGAAGGAACACCAGUGGCGAAUGCGACCACCUGGACUGAUACUGACACUGAGGUGCGAAAGCGUGGGGAGCAAACAGGAUUAGAUACCCCCGUAGUCCCUGAGCGGGCUGGCAAGGCGCAU